rnacentral:misc_RNA from 1 species
UUGGCCGGCACAGACCCUGGACUUGUUUGUUUGUAUAUAACAAUUCUUAAUCACCAGGUUUUGCCAAAAACCAAUGGUUCAAUGUCUAUAGCACUAUCAGAACUUGAGAAUGUGGAAAUAGUAAGGUCGUUGCUUUCCAUUUAAGUUUAAACAUCUUUUUGCAAGAUUGGCAACUACUUCAACUUCUUCUUUAAGACAAUCGUCCACAAUUCGAG